rnacentral:rRNA from 1 species
UGGGGAAUCUUCCGCAAUGGGCGAAAGCCUGACGGAGCAACGCCGCGUGAGUGAAGACGGCCUUCGGGUUGUAAAGCUCUGUUAUAUGGGACGAACGUAUUUAUGGCCAAUACCCAUAGAUAGUGACGGUACCGUAAGAGAAAGCCACGGCUAACUACGUGCCAGCAGCCGCGGUAAUACGUAGGUGGCAAGCGUUGUCCGGAAUUAUUGGGCGUAAAGGGCGCGCAGGCGGCCUGUCAAGUCUGUCUUAAAAGUGCGGGGCUCAACCCCGUGAUGGGACGGAAACUGGCAGGCUGGAGUGUCGGAGAGGAAAGCAGAAUUCCUAGUGUAGCGGUGAAAUGCGUAGAUAUUAGGAGGAAUACCAGUGGCGAAAGCGGCUUUCUGGACGACAACUGACGCU